AAAUGGGCAAAUGUGCCAAUGACUGAGAGUCAACUCUCCUUGGUGAGUGCCUCAGAACUUAGGAAAAGAGAACAGCGCAUGUCUCUCUCAUGAAGAUGACAGAGGACAAAAGCAAGCAGAAAUAUACAAGGAUUUGCGUACUCUAUUAUGAAUUUCUCUUUGAGAAAUAAUACCUGUGAGAAUGCUGCUCCUUCAAUUAGGUUCAGGAUUGGAGGAAAAAUCAUAUAAAAUAGUUGGUAAUCUUUCUUCUCUAGAAAGUGGCAACGAUAUAUAGUACUGUUGAACCAUGCCUGCCAGUGUCAAUUCCUGAAAUGGCAAAAGAAAAGGGAAGAAGAAAAGAUAAUGCUAUAAUGAUCAGCUCCCAAACCUCUACUUAAAGCAUAAAUGGAGAAAAGAAAGCUCGGUGUAGUGCUACGGAACACUAUUCGGCAUUAAGCAGAGUAAAUAGCUUAGUCAACAGUGUGGGCCAUUGUCAGUCUUUAUUUGUCAUCUCUCACUGAGUGAUCACAACUCAGCCUCUUAUGUGUCCUGGAAGUGUCCAAUCUCCAAGUUAACUAUUUAUUAAGAGGAGAUGCAUCUUAAAAGUAAUGCCUCAUAUUUAGGGGAAUUAUAUUAAAGAUAUCUCAUUUUGUCAACCCUGCUAUUCGUUCCAUCCUUUCCAUGUAACACUAAUAAGAGGACACUCUACUGCACUGGUGUCUCAUCUGUGAUGAUUCAAAUGUUCUGUUUUCUUCAUGAUACUGUGUUGUAGACAAAAUUAUAAAGCAAGUAAAUUUGUGGGAGUUUUGGCAAUCGUAGAAAGCCAGUAAAGAAAAAUUUUCUAAGCCAUUUGAAUUAUAACAAAUUACACACAUAUUAAAGCUACACAAAUAAAAUAACUUUAUUUGGGUAUUUGGAUUGCAGGCUCUUGAAAAAUUUCAAAUUUGUCAGUCUUCCAAGUUGCAUAAAAGGCAUAAAAGUCUUUUUUAUUUAAUGUAGUGCUAUAAUUCUCCAGCUGAUAGAAUCAAAGCGUAAUUGCCUAAAUGUAUUUUCUAGUCAGUGUUGAAUCUCUGCCUAAUUUUCACAAUUAUUAGCCCUAAAUGACAAUACCAGUUGAUACAGUCUCAGGGAAUCCAAGCUAAUUUUAAUGUUCAUUCAAGCAAGACAGAAUCAUGAAGGUAUUCUCUUGGGGAAAAAUUCCUAUUAAUACAUUAUAAAAGCAAAUUGUGAGCUCUAAUUGUCAUGAUUUUGAGUUUAGUGUGCAAUGCUGCUCUCCUCUAUUAGCAGAUGAUGAAAAACUUCAUUGAAAAUGAAUGUGCAUGUGUACUUCACCUGAAAAUAAAAACAAUGUGUGUGUUUCUGAAAGUAUAUUAAAAUUAUAUUAGAGAUGAUUAACAACAAAUUGGAACUUAGACAGCUCCCACAAAGUAAUAUCAUUGUAAUCAUAUCUAUUUUGUAAAGGUCCCCUUUGUAGAGAAUAAAACAAAUUAGGUGUGUGUUACAGGUUGAAUUAUGUUCUCUCCCAAAAUUCCUAUGUUGACGUUUUAACCCCAGGUACCUUAGAAUGUGAAACCUUGUUUAGAAAUAGUGCUUGUUGUUGAAGAUGUAUUUAGUUAAGUUAGGAUGAAGUCAUAUUAGAAUAAAGUGGCCCCCUAAUCCUAUAUGACCGGUGCACUUAUAAAAGGAGGAAAAUAUCCAUUCUUCAGUCCAUGGGUCAAGAAAUAAUUCUGCCUUUCAUAUCCUAUUACUUAAGAAAUACAUUUCUUAAUGCUAUAGCUGACAUAGAUAGUGAUUCCUCUUAUGGAUCUGGGUAAAGUACAUCAAAAACCUUCUGGAAAGGAUUCACCAUUCUAGGUGCCAUUAACAACACUCAUGAUUCAUGGUAGGAAGUCAAAAUAUGAACAUUAACAGAAGUUUGGGAGAAGCUGAUUCUAGUCCAUGUGGGUGAUUUUGAGGGGAUUAAAACUUCAGUGGAGGAAGUAACUGCAGAUGUGGUAGAAAUAGCAAGAGAACUAGAAUUAGAAGUGGAACCUGAAGAUGAGACUGAAUUGCUAUAAUCGCAUUAUAAAACUUGAAUGGAUGAGGGGCUGCUUCUUAUGUAUGAGCAAAACAAGUGAUUUCUUCAGAUGAAAUCUACCCUUGGUAAAGAUGUUGCAAACAUUGCUGAAGUGACAACAUAGAAUUUAAAAUAUUACAUAAAUUUACCUGAUAAAAUAGUGGCAGGGUGUGAGAGGACUGCCUCUAAUUUUGAAAGAAGUUUCUACUGUGGGUAAAAUGCUACCAAACAACAUCAUAUGCUAUAGAGAAAUCUUUUGUGAAAGGAAGAGUCAAUCAGUUGAUGCUGCAAGCCUCAUUGUUAUCUUAUUUUAAUAAAUUGCCAUAGCCACCUCAACUUUCAGCAAUUACCACCCUGAUCAGUCAGCAAUCAUCAAUAUAGAUGCAAGACUCUCCACUAGCAAGAUGAUUAUGACUCACUGAAGGCUCAGCUGAUUCUUAGCAUCUUAGUAAUAUUUUUUAAAUAAAGUAUAUACAUUUUUAGACAUACCGCCAUUACCCACUUAAUAGACUACAGCAUAGUGUAAAUAUAACUUUUAUAUACACUGGGAAACAAAAAUAUAUAACUUAUAUUUUGAUAUUUGCUUUAUCAGUAGUAUCUCCAAGAUAUGUCAGUGUGUGCAGUCAUGUGUCACUUAACAAGGGCGAUAUGUUCUGAGGAAUGUGUCAUUAGGGUAUUUUGUCAUUGUGGGAACAUCAUAGAGUAUAUCUACACAAACAUAGACAGCCUCUCCUACUACACACCUGGACUAUUUGGUAUUGCCCAUUGUGACUAGGCUGUAAACCUGUGCAGCUUGUUACUGUACUGAAUAGUGUAGGCAAUUGUAGCACAAUGGUAAAAUGGUAUUUGUACGUCUAAACACUUCUAGGCUAUCUCUCAGGGUUUUUUAAAAAUAGUUUUAGGUGUUACAUUUUAGCCUUUAAUCCAAGUUGAUUUCUGUAUAUGGUAUAAGGAAGAGGCCCAGUUUUAAUCUUUUGUGUAUGGCUAACCAGUUAUCCUAGCACUAUUUAUUGAAUAAGAAGUCCUCUUCUCAUUGCUUAUUUUGUCAACUUUUGUGAAACAUCACAUGGUUAUCAGUGUUGUGGCAUUAUUUCUGGGCUCCCUAGUCUGUUCCAUUGACCUGUGUGUCUGUUUUUGUACCUGUAUCAUGCUGUUUUGGUUAUUGUAACCUUAUAGUAUACUUUGAGGUUCAGUAACGUGAUGCCUGUAGCUUUGUUCUUUUUGCUUAGAAUUGUCUUGACUAUUUGGUCACUUUUUUAGUUCCAUAUGAAUUUUGAAAAAGUUUACACAGCCCUAAAAAGGAAUGAGACCAUACCCUUGGCAGCAACAUGGAUGAAGUUGUAGGCCACUAUCCUAAAUGAACUAACACAGGAACAGAAAACCCGAAUACCACAUGUUCUCACUUAUAAGUGGGAGCUAAACAUUGAGUGCACAUGGAUACAAAGAAGAUGACAACAGACACCAGGGCCUACUUGAGAGUCAGGGGUGGGAGGAGGGAGAGGGUUGAAAACUACCUAAUGGGCACUAUGCUUAUUAGCUGGGUGAUGAAAUAAUCUGUAUACCAAACCUCUGUGGCAUGCAAUUUACCUAUAUAACAAACCUGCACAUAAACCCCUGAACCUAAAAUAAAAAUAAAAGCAAAUAAACAUAUCUAAACAUAGUAAAGAUACAGUAUUAUCAUAUUAUGGGAUCACCAUCAUAUAUGCAGUUCAUCAUUGAUCAAAAUGUCAUUAUGUGGCUCAUAUCUGUAUUAGAUUAUCUCUAUUUUCUCUGCUCAAAUGAAAGCAUGCUGUGCAAGUUUUUAUACUGUGUAUUUGGAAAAUUUGCCACGUUGAUUAGUAAAAUGUUGCCUCAUUCUUUUUGAUGACUCUAUAUUCCAUUGUUUGAAUGCAUCAUAAAUUAUGUAACUAUCCCUAUUAAUGGAUAUUAUUGCUUAAGAUAUGUUCUAUUAUGAAAGUGCUUAGGAGAGUUUAGAAAUGACAAGAAUGACAUGGAACAUGAAGAAGAGGUUAUGUAAUAAGAAAUAAACAUCAGAUUGGCCUGCAAUAUCUUCUUUGCAACACUGAAUUCCAGAAGGCAGUGAGGCAAUGUUUGCUGUAUGUUAAUGGAAAGGAUGUAACCUCACAUUUUAUAUAUAGUAAAUUGUUCAAACACGUACACUAUAAAGGUAUAAUGCCCAUGAAAAGAACAAUUCUCGGAAACAUGUUAAUAGCUGUGUUUUAUUUUCCAAAGGUUCCUGCAAUAAUAUUGCCCCUUGAGUAUGGGUGGGCUUGUGACCUGCUCAGUGCUAAGGAAAUGCAGUGGAAAUGAUGCUGUGUAACUUCUGAGGCCAAGUUAUAAAAGAUCAUGCAUCUUUUGCCUUGUUAGAAAAGUUUGCUGACGCCUGAUAUGGAGCACUAGAAAGAAAUUAUUUUUCCAAGCAUCAACCCGGAAGUCCCAGCAUACCGAGGGUGGCAGACAUCAUUUCUUCAAUGAACUUAGUAUUUAGAAAGAUAUCUUCACUCCAAGCAUCAAGUCUUUUCUGUCCUGCAAAAGUCUUAAGUCAAACCAGAAUCCACUAGUAGAGGGCACCUUUGGAUUCAACAGUAAAAGGAGAAUCUACAAAACCAGCUCAUCAAAAGGCUUGGAAGUGACAGAGCUGCAAUUCCGGCCCAAGAAGUCAGACCCUAGAGCUCAUCUCUAAACCACCACUCACUCUGUAUCUAUCAUCUGGAAGGCCCUCUUUCUGGAGACUUCAGAUUCUUGGAGC
rnacentral:lncRNA from 1 species